GACGAACGCUGGCGGCGUGCUUAACACAUGCAAGUCGAACGAAAAGAGGGAAAGAGCUUGCUCUUUCCGGAAUUGAGUGGCAAACGGGUGAGUAACACGUAAACAACCUGCCUUCAGGAUGGGGACAACAGACGGAAACGACUGCUAAUACCGAAUAAGUUCCAAGGGCCGCAUGUCCCAUGGAAGAAAAGGUGGCCUCUACCUGUAAGCUAUCGCCUGAAGAGGGGUUUGCGUCUGAUUAGCUGGUUGGAGGGGUAACGGCCCACCAAGGCGACGAUCAGUAGCCUGUCUGAGAAGAUGAACGGCCACAAUGGAACUGAGAAACGGUCCAGACUCCUAAGGGAGGGCGCAGUGGGGAAUCUUCCGCAAUAGGCGAAAGCCUGACGGAGCAACGCCGGGGGAGUGAUGGAGGCUCUCGGGUUGUAAAACUCUGUGAUCCGGGACGAAAAGGCAGAGUGCGAAGAACAAACUGCAUUGACGGUACCGGAAAAGCAAGCCACGGCUAACUACGUG
rnacentral:rRNA from 1 species